rnacentral:tRNA from 1 species
CAAAUUAUAGCUUAAUAAGUAUUUCAUUUACAUUGAAAAGAUAAUGUAAUUACAUUUAAUUUGA